rnacentral:rRNA from 1 species
UCGAGGAUCUUCGGCAAUGGGCGAAAGCCUGACCGAGCGAUGCCGCGUGCGCGAUGAAGGCCUUCGGGUUGUAAAGCGCUUUAGUGGGGGAGAAAAACCCGAAAGGGUCUGAUCUAUCCCAAAAAUAAGCUCGGGCUAAGUUCGUGCCAGCAGCCGCGGUAAGACGAACCGAGCGAACGUUGUUCGGAAUCACUGGGCUUAAAGGGCGCGUAGGCGGGCUGUCAAGUCUGGGGUGAAAUCCCACGGCUCAACCGUGGAACUGCCUUAGAUACUGACGGCCUCGAGGGAGAUAGGGGCGAGCGGAACUGUGAGUGGAGCGGUGAAAUGCGUUGAUAUUCACAGGAACUCCGGUGGCGAAGGCGGCUCGCUGGAUCUUUUCUGACGCUGAGGCGCGAAAGCUAGGGGAGCAAACG